CAAAAUUAAAUUGUAAAUUUGAUUUAGGUCAGUCCUUUAUUAGUGAAUUUUUUCACGGUAAAGCUUUAUUAGUUUUUUUUAUUCAUUUUAGUCCCUAUUUUUAAUUAAAUCUAUUUUAUUAUUUAGUUUAUUAUUUGCAUGUAUUUAAUUUCAGGGUUGAUUUAAUUCCAUUUCUUUCAAUUAUUAUGAAAUUAAUUAAUUUAAUUUUUGCUAAAAUUAUUAAUCAACUUUUAUUUUUCCAAAAAAAAUUUUUGUGGGGCUAAAAUAGUAAAAUUUUCUUUAAAAGGAAACUCCUUCCUACCCUCAUCUCUCAGCGUAGGCCGGCAAGCAAGGAUCUCACCAUUACUCAGAUCCAAAUCCUCUUUUGCAAGAGAUGUAGAUAGUAGAUAGUAUAAGAAGCGAUGAACCAAGAUCCACAAUCUCUUUUAUAAUCUGUUUUAAAUUGUUUCAGUAUUUUAUUUUGCAAAGCUUAUAUUAUAUAGGGGAAGGAUGUUGAUAGUGGAUGGUGCUUGAAGCGAUGAAUCGCCCCAAGACCCUUAAUUCAAGAUGCAGUUCAGUAUUCCGGUGUCUUGGAUCGGACUGGAUUUGUUGACAAAUGCAUUUUUGAAGCAGAUAACAACAAAUCUAAAAAUGCUUUUCCAGUCAACAAAUUCAGUUUGAGCCGAGAUUGGGCUGAGAUUUACAAACCCCUUCCUCACUCAAUUCAACAGUCUGAUUCGGGGAAAGUUCUUUUCUUUUGAAAUUUACUUUUAAAUUUUACUAGGUAAUGUUUAGUUUGCAGUCGUUUCUUCCCUCUCUUCGACAUUUUUUUAUAAUCAAUAAACAUACCGUAAUGUUUUUCCUAAUUGAUGCUCAGAGUGUAUGGUCUUUUAAGCUGCAAAGUGCAUGCCCAUAUUUCUUGGCUGAUUUCAACAGAUAGGGACCAAAUAAGCUUUCUUAGCAAAGCGAAUCAAGUUUUCUUUUUCCCUCGAAGAAUCCAGUUCUGAAGACUAUACCGAUAGUAUUAAGUGCGAUAUCUAUGGCAAUAGUAGAUAUUGGAUUUAGAUCAAAAUUAUUAACUUAGAAGCCAGACUGAUGGACGGUAAAGUGCUUCAUUUAUGAUUUACAUCAGUGUAUUAGCCGUAAUUUAUGCAGACAGGUACCAAUCAUCUCGUCUUUUGUCUCCUUUCUCUCAUUUCUUUUCUUCAGAUAAAUCAUUAUUAAUUGUCUACUUUGCAUAUCCAGGAAAAUGUCUUUUGUGACCACAAGAAGGCAAGAAGAAACAAGCAACGACUUAUGUUAAGAUCUACGACAUUUUGAACUUGGCAAAUCCUUUUCAAGGACAUUGUGCAAAUAGUGAAUGAACUGUUAAUACUCCAACCCCUAAUUUUCAUUUAUGGUUCGUGUCUAUAUUUAUAAAUCUCAGUAAUUGCUUGUGCUUCUCUAAGAAAAAGAGAAGGCAGACUGAAGCUGGCCAAGAAACCACGGCUUGACUAAUUGCUACUUGUUAUUGCGGUCAAGUAAGUCGAAAUCUAUUUGACGUUGGAAUAGAAUCUUUUAAUGGUUUAGUGGGAUGUUUUUGUGUUUGAAUCAAGAGUUUUUACAACUUGGAAGAAUGGUUUGGCUUUGCUGACUUCAAUUCAGAAUGUGCAUAGGGAAGCGAAUCGGCUAGCUGAUGCUUUGUCUUUCUUCAAACCAGAAUGUUGGCAUGCAAAUUUUUAGUGUGCCGCCAGCAGGACCUGCUCAAGUGCUACAAGAGGAUAUUCAAGGAUUGGCUUUGCCAAGAAUGGUUUACAUGGACUUUGUGUGUAUUUCAUAUACGAACAAACUCCAAUUCAAUUCUAAAUUUAUUAUUGUAGAAUUCGUUGGAUAAUUUAAUCGGUCCAGUUAAAAGCAUUCAGUAAGGGUCUCGAUUGUAUUGUUCAAAUGGUUGGUUCGAUUAAUAUUUGAACCGAAUAUUCGAUUAAUAUUCAGUAAGGGUCUCGUGCGCCUCCUUCUCCCUACGCCUCCACGCGCUGCGCCUUGCCAUGUCAUCGUACGGCCAUUUCUGCAACAAACGAAAGAUGAACAAUGCAGCUGAGUCAGACCCCUGCGCGUGCUGCGCCUCUGCGCCAGGUUCACGCGCGCCUUCUCCAGGCUGGCCACGUCCCUGACACUGUACGGCCGUACCUGCAGCAAAUGCAAACGAAAAAAAGCAGCAAAGAAAAAGAAAAUUGUAUUCUUUUUUAUUUAUUUUUGUUUUAGAUUUUCGGCCUAUAAAAAAGAGCAAAAAGGCCUUUGUAAAGGGGGAUACGAAAAAAAAACCCUCACACACGCAUUCAAUAUACAAUCGAGAAUACAAAAAUUGAAAAACAAAAGGUGAUUUUUUGGGUU